rnacentral:rRNA from 1 species
GACGAACGCUGGCGGCGUGCUUAACACAUGCAAGUCGAACGGAAAGGCCCUGCUUUUGUGGGGUGCUCGAGUGGCGAACGGGUGAGUAACACGUGAGUAACCUGCCCUUGACUUUGGGAUAACUUCAGGAAACUGGGGCUACUACCGGAUAGGAGCUCCUGCUGCAUGGUGGGGGUUGGAAAGUUUCGGCGGGUGGGGAUGGACUCGCGGCUUAUCAGCUUGUUGGUGGGGUGGUGGCUUACCAAGGCUUUGACGGGUAGCGGGCCUGAGAGGGUGACAGGCCACAUUGGGACUGAGGGACGGCCCAGGUUCCUACGGGAGGCAGCAGGGGGGAAGAUUGCACAAUGGGCGGAAGCUGGAUGCAGCAACGCCGCGGGCUGGAUGACGGCCUUCGGGUGAUAAAACGCUUGCGCCUGUAACGAAGCGUGAGUGACGGUAAUGGGUAAAGAAGGCCCGGCUAAAUACGUU